rnacentral:rRNA from 1 species
GACGAACGCUGGCGGCGUGCUUAACACAUGCAAGUCGAACGGAAAGGCCCUGCUUGCAGGGUACUCGAGUGGCGAACGGGUGAGUAACACGUGGGUGAUCUGCCCUGCACUUCGGGAUAAGCCUGGUAAACUAGGUCUAAUACCGGAUAGGAGCCAUUUUUAGUGUGAUGGUUGGAAAGUUUUUUCCGUGUAGGAUGAGCUCUCGGCCUAACAGCUUGUUGGUGGGGUAAUGGCCUACCAAGGCGGCUACGGGUAGCCGGCCUGAGAGGGUGGACGGCCAUAUUGGGACUGAGAUAAGGCCCAGACUGCUACGGGAGGCAGAAGUGGGGAAUAUUGCACGAUGGGCGCAAGGCUGAUGCAGCGACGCCGCGUGGGGGAUGACGGCCUUAGGGUUGUAAACUCCUUGCGCUAGGGACGAAGCUUUUUGUGACGGUACCUAGAUAAGAAGCACCGGCUAACUACGUG